UUUUCGGGAGGUAUGCUUAAAGAUGAGCUUGCGCCACAUUAGUUUGUUGGUGGGGUAAUGGCCUACCAAGACGAUGAUGUGUAGCUGGACUGAGAGGUCGAACAGCCACAUUGGGACUGAGACACGGCCCAAACUCCUACGGGAGGCAGCAGUAGGGAAUUUUCGGCAAUGGAGGAAACUCUGACCGAGCAACGCCGCGUGAACGAUGAAGUAUUUCGGUAUGUAAAGUUCUUUUAUUGAAGAAGAAAAAAUAGUGGAAAAACUAUCUUGACGUUAUUCAAUGAAUAAGCCCCGGCUAACUAUGUGCCAGCAGCCGCGGUAAGACAUAGGGGGCGAGCGUUAUCCGGAAUUAUUGGGCGUAAAGGGUGCGUAGGCGGUUAGGAAAGUCUAUAAUUUAAUUUCAGUGCUUAACGCUGUCUUGUUAUAGAAACUACCUUGACUAGAGUUAGAUAGAGGCAAGCGGAAUUCCAUGUGUAGCGGUAAAAUGUGUAAAUAUAUGGAGGAACACCAGAAGCGUAGGCGGCUUGCUGGGUCUUGACUGACGCUGAGGCACGAAAGCGUGGGUAGCAAACAGGAUUAGAUACCCUGGUAGUCCACGCCGUAAACGAUGAGUACUAAGUGUCGGGAUAAAACUCGGUACUGAAGUUAACACAUUAAGUACUCCGCCUGAGUAGUACGUACGCAAGUAUGAAACUUAAAGGAAUUGACGGGACUCCGCACAAGCGGUGGAUCAUGUUGUUUAAUUCGAAGAUACACGAAAAAUCUUACCAGGUCUUGACAUGCUCUGCAAAGCUAUAGAAAUAUAGUGGAGGUUAUCAGGGACACAGGUGGUGCAUGGUUGUCGUCAGUUCGUGUCGUGAGAUGUUAGGUUAAGUCCUAAAACGAGCGCAACCCUUGUCGUUAGUUACCAGCACGUAAUGGUGGGCACUUUAACGAGACUGCCAAUUAAACAUUGGAGGAAGGUGAGGAUUACGUCAAAUCAUCAUGCCCCUUAUGAUCUGGGCUACAAACGUGAUACAAUGGCUGUUACAAAGAGUAGCUGAAGCGCGAGUUUUUAGCCAAUCUCAAAAAAGCAGUCUCAGUUCGGAUUGAAGUCUGUAACUCGACUUCAUGAAGUUGGAAUCGCUAGUAAUCG
rnacentral:rRNA from 1 species